CAAGCUGUAACAUUAAAACCCAUCUUUGAGACUGCUGAAUAUAUUCACACCUGAGAUACGAAGAGAGGCAUUUCCAAGCUGUAUCAAAAGUACCCUGUCUGGACUUGGUCCAGAACCUGGUGGACCUUUUGCCACAGCCUACAGGAUGGAUUCCACAUGAGCAGCUAUCUCAUUUCAUCAUUAUGUGGAGAAACAACACAUGUGAGUCAGCAUACCUACGGAGGCUCCUGAUCCAUGGGGAUUGCCAGAUAUCACCCAAAGCUGAGGACCCAACAGAAAUGUGUUGUCUCAUCUGGAUGUGUUUGGAGGAAAGGUCUGUGGGAUGCAGCAUCCCAGUGAAAUUAUCAGUAUCCUUUUUGACAUGCCCUUAUGACUCCUUUAAUCUCAGAAGGUGCCCUGGAAAUAAGCUGCUAUCCUAGCAAAAAAGGACUGCAACCAGGUGGCUGGCCACGUAUCUUCUGAAAAUGAAGUAUUCUCCAAAAUACUGUUCCUGGUUGACUUGUGUGGUGAUGGAAAGUUCACGCAUGAUGCUGAGGAGCAGCCUAAGUGACAGUUGUGGACACCAACAUGGGAAAGAUGCUGAUGGUCCUGUCAGUAUGAUUGUGUUAGAUGCUGUAGAACUUGAAGUACGGGAGGCCAUCUUGGGGAGUACGACCAUUGGAAACAUCUACUCAGCAUUGCUUCAUGGCAUACACCGUCACAGAGGAGUUUGUGGCAGUGAUUGGUUGUCAUGACCAAUGAUUAACCAGUCACCGAGGGUCAUCAAGCAAUGAGUCGUUCUUGCUCAUGGAGGCAAGCUGGACUUUCACCAAUGCAUGCAAUUUGUUUCUCAAGGCCUGUGUGAAUCCAGAAACAAAUGAGUCUCGAGAUGCUCUUGGUAUAUUGUUUGAGGCGACCUAGAAUUCUUUUCCAAAUGGAGGGAGAAGAGAGUUUUUUCCAACUCUACAGUCAUGAGAGAAUCAGGUUCAUUUAGUGAUAGUAAAGGUACCUGUGGCUCACGAUGUGAAUGGCCCUGUCCUCUGCUGGGCAUCUUCUGAGUGCUUAGGGAGCUCAAAAUGGUGGCACAGAGCAAAGAGAAUCCACCGGAAAUCUGUUGAGAGGGGGCACUCAAGUCAAAAAUGUCUAUCCAACUUUUUUGAAGCCACCGUCUCUCUCGGUGGUUCAGCCUGUAAUCCCGUGCCUUUGGGAGGCUGAGGUGAGUGGAUUGCCUGAGCCCGCA